rnacentral:rRNA from 1 species
UACGUAGGGUGCGAGCGUUAAUCGGAAUUACUGGGCGUAAAGCGUGCGCAGGCGGUUUUGGAAGUCUGUCGUGAAAGCCCCGGGCUUAACCUGGGAAUUGCGAUGGAGACUGCAAGGCUUGAAUCUGGCAGAGGGGGGUAGAAUUCCACGUGUAGCAGUGAAAUGCGUAGAGAUGUGGAGGAACACCGAUGGCGAAGGCAGCCCCCUGGGUCAAGAUUGACGCUCAUGCACGAAAGCGUGGGGAGCAAACAGG